rnacentral:rRNA from 1 species
UUAAGCGACUAAGCGUACACGGUGGAUGCCCUGGCAGUCAGAGGCGAUGAAGGACGUGCUAAUCUGCGAUAAGCGUCGGUAAGGUGAUAUGAACCGUUAUAACCGGCGAUUUCCGAAUGGGGAAACCCAGUGUGAUUCGUCACACUAUCAUUAACUGAAUCCAUAGGUUAAUGAGGCGAACCGGGGGAACUGAAACAUCUAAGUACCCCGGGGAAAGAAAUCAACCGAGAUUCCCCCCAGUAGCGGCGAGCGAACGGGGAGCAGCCCAGAGCCUGAAUCAGUGUGUGUGUUAGUGGAAGCGUCUGGAAAGGCGUGCGAUACAGGGUGACAGCCCCGUACACAAAAAUACACAUACUGUGAGCUCGAUGAGUAGGGCGGGACACGUGGUAUCCUGUCUGAAUAUGGGGGGACCAUCCUCCAAGGCUAAAUACUCCUGACUGACCGAUAGUGAACCAGUACCGUGAGGGAAAGGCGAAAAGAACCCCGGCGAGGGGAGUGAAAAAGAACCUGAAACCGUGUACGUACAAGCAGUGGGAGCACGCUUAGGCGUGUGACUGCGUACCUUUUGUAUAAUGGGUCAGCGACUUAUAUUCUGUAGCAAGGUUAACCGAAUAGGGGAGCCGAAGGGAAACCGAGUCUUAACUGGGCGUUAAGUUGCAGGGUAUAGACCCGAAACCCGGUGAUCUAGCCAUGGGCAGGUUGAAGGUUGGGUAACACUAACUGGAGGACCGAACCGACUAAUGUUGAAAAAUUAGCGGAUGACUUGUGGCUGGGGGUGAAAGGCCAAUCAAACCGGGAGAUAGCUGGUUCUCCCCGAAAGCUAUUUAGGUAGCGCCUCGUGAAUUCAUCUCCGGGGGUAGAGCACUGUUUCGGCAAGGGGGUCAUCCCGACUUACCAACCCGAUGCAAACUGCGAAUACCGGAGAAUGUUAUUACGGGAGACACACGGCGGGUGCUAACGUCCGUCGUGAAGAGGGAAACAACCCAGACCGCCAGCUAAGGUCCCAAAGUCAUGGUUAAGUGGGAAACGAUGUGGGAAGGCCCAGACAGCCAGGAUGUUGGCUUAGAAGCAGCCAUCAUUUAAAGAAAGCGUAAUAGCUCACUGGUCGAGUCGGCCUGCGCGGAAGAUGUAACGGGGCUAAACCAUGCACCGAAGCUGCGGCAGCGACGCUUAUGCGUUGUUGGGUAGGGGAGCGUUCUGUAAGCCUGUGAAGGUGUGCUGUGAGGUAUGCUGGAGGUAUCAGAAGUGCGAAUGCUGACAUAAGUAACGAUAAAGCGGGUGAAAAGCCCGCUCGCCGGAAGACCAAGGGUUCCUGUCCAACGUUAAUCGGGGCAGGGUGAGUCGACCCCUAAGGCGAGGCCGAAAGGCGUAGUCGAUGGGAAACAGGUUAAUAUUCCUGUACUUGGUGUUACUGCGAAGGGGGGACGGAGAAGGCUAUGUUGGCCGGGCGACGGUUGUCCCGGUUUAAGCGUGUAGGCUGGUUUUCCAGGCAAAUCCGGAAAAUCAAGGCCGAGGCGUGAUGACGAGGCACUACGGUGCUGAAGCAACAAAUGCCCUGCUUCCAGGAAAAGCCUCUAAGCAUCAGGUAACAUCAAAUCGUACCCCAAACCGACACAGGUGGUCAGGUAGAGAAUACCAAGGCGCUUGAGAGAACUCGGGUGAAGGAACUAGGCAAAAUGGUGCCGUAACUUCGGGAGAAGGCACGCUGAUACGUAGGUGAAGCGACUUGCUCGUGGAGCUGAAAUCAGUCGAAGAUACCAGCUGGCUGCAACUGUUUAUUAAAAACACAGCACUGUGCAAUCACGAAAGUGGACGUAUACGGUGUGACGCCUGCCCGGUGCCGGAAGGUUAAUUGAUGGGGUUAGCGCAAGCGAAGCUCUUGAUCGAAGCCCCGGUAAACGGCGGCCGUAACUAUAACGGUCCUAAGGUAGCGAAAUUCCUUGUCGGGUAAGUUCCGACCUGCACGAAUGGCGUAAUGAUGGCCAGGCUGUCUCCACCCGAGACUCAGUGAAAUUGAACUCGCUGUGAAGAUGCAGUGUACCCGCGGCAAGACGGAAAGACCCCGUGAACCUUUACUAUAGCUUGACACUGAACAUUGAGCCUUGAUGUGUAGGAUAGGUGGGAGGCUUUGAAGUGUGGACGCCAGUCUGCAUGGAGCCGACCUUGAAAUACCACCCUUUAAUGUUUGAUGUUCUAACGUGGACCCGUGAUCCGGGUUGCGGACAGUGUCUGGUGGGUAGUUUGACUGGGGCGGUCUCCUCCUAAAGAGUAACGGAGGAGCACGAAGGUUGGCUAAUCCUGGUCGGACAUCAGGAGGUUAGUGCAAUGGCAUAAGCCAGCUUGACUGCGAGCGUGACGGCGCGAGCAGGUGCGAAAGCAGGUCAUAGUGAUCCGGUGGUUCUGAAUGGAAGGGCCAUCGCUCAACGGAUAAAAGGUACUCCGGGGAUAACAGGCUGAUACCGCCCAAGAGUUCAUAUCGACGGCGGUGUUUGGCACCUCGAUGUCGGCUCAUCACAUCCUGGGGCUGAAGUAGGUCCCAAGGGUAUGGCUGUUCGCCAUUUAAAGUGGUACGCGAGCUGGGUUUAGAACGUCGUGAGACAGUUCGGUCCCUAUCUGCCGUGGGCGCUGGAGAACUGAGGGGGGCUGCUCCUAGUACGAGAGGACCGGAGUGGACGCAUCACUGGUGUUCGGGUUGUCAUGCCAAUGGCACUGCCCGGUAGCUAAAUGCGGAAGAGAUAAGUGCUGAAAGCAUCUAAGCACGAAACUUGCCCCGAGAUGAGUUCUCCCUGACCCUUUAAGGGUCCUGAAGGAACGUUGAAGACGACGACGUUGAUAGGCCGGGUGUGUAAGCGCAGCGAUGCGUUGAGCUAACCGGUACUAAUGAACCGUGAGGCUUAACCUU